CGGACGGGUGAGUAAUGUCUGGGAAACUGCCUGAUGGAGGGGGGAUAACUACUGGAAACGGUAGCUAAUACCGCAUAAUGUCGCAAGACCAAAGAGGGGGACCUUCGGGCCUCUUGCCAUCGGAUGUGCCCAGAUGGGAUUAGCUAGUAGGUGGGGUAACGGCUCACCUAGGCGACGAUCCCUAGCUGGUCUGAGAGGAUGACCAGCCACACUGGAACUGAGACACGGUCCAGACUCCUACGGGAGGCAGCAUG
rnacentral:rRNA from 1 species